rnacentral:rRNA from 1 species
GACACGCUGGCGGCGCGCCUAACACAUGCAAGUCGAACGGAGUUUCCCCGUUCGGGGGGAGCUUAGUGGCGGACGGGUGAGUAACACGUGAGGAACCUGCCUUUGAGAGCGGGAUACCGUCUGGAAACGGACGUUAAUACCGCAUAAUGCAGCGAGGCCACAUGGCCAUGCUGCCAAAGAUUUAUCGCUCAAAGAUGGCCUCGCGCCUGAUUAGAUAGUUGGCGGGGUAACGGCCCACCAAGUCUGCGAUCAGUAGCCGGACUGAGAGGUCGAACGGCCACAUUGGGACUGAGAUACGGCCCAGACUCCUACGGGAGGCAGCAGUGGGGGAUAUUGCACAAUGGGCGAAAGCCUGAUGCAGCGACGCCGCGUGAGGGAAGACGGUUUUCGGAUUGUAAACCUCUGUCUUCGGGGACGAAACAAGACGGUACCCGAGGAGGAAGCCACGGCUAACUACGUG